CGUUGAACCACCAGUUCUCGUACGAUCACCGAAGUUAAGCAACGUCGAGCCUGGUCCGUACCUAGAUAGGUUAUCGCUGGGGAAUAACAGAUGCUGCAUU
rnacentral:rRNA from 1 species